rnacentral:rRNA from 1 species
GACGAACGCUGGCGGCGUGCUUAACACAUGCAAGUCGAACGGAAAGGCCCUGCUUUUGUGGGGUGCUCGAGUGGCGAACGGGUGAGUAACACGUGAGUAACCUGCCCUUGACUUUGGGAUAACUUCAGGAAACUGGGGCUAAUACCGGAUAGGAGCUCCUGCUGCAUGGUGGGGGUUGGAAAGUUUCGGCGGUUGGGGAUGGACUCGCGGCUUAUCAGCUUGUUGGUGGGGUAGUGGCUUACCAAGGCUUUGACGGGUAGCCGGCCUGAGAGGGUGACCGGCGACAUUGGGACUGAGAUACGGCCCAGACUCCUACGGGAGGCAGAAGUGGGGAAUAUGGCACAAUGGGCGGAAGCCUGAUGCAGCAACGCCGCGUGUGGGAUGACGGCCUUCGGGGUGUAAACCGCUUUCGCCUGUGACGAAGCGUGAGUGACGGUAAUGGGUAAAGAAGCACCGGCUAACUACGUG